rnacentral:rRNA from 1 species
GACGAACGCUGGCGGCGUGCUUAACACAUGCAAGUCGAACGGAAAGGCCCUGCUUUUGGGGGGUGCCCGAGUGGCGAACGGGUGAGUAACACGUGAGUAACCUGCACUUGACUUUGGGAUAACUUCAGGAAACAGGGGCUCUUACCGGGUAGGAGCUAUUGCUGCAAGGUGGGGGUUGGAAAGUUUCGGCGGUUGGGGGUGGACUCGCGGCUUAUCAGCUUGAUGGUGGGGUAGUGGCUUACCAAGGCUUUGACGGGUAGCCGGCCUGGGAGGGGGAGCGGCCACACUGCGCCUGAGAUACGGCCCAGACUCGUACGGGACGCAGCAGUGGGGAGUAUUGCACAAUGGGCUGAAGCCUGAUGCGGCAACGCCGCGUGCGGGAUGACGGCCUUCGGGUAGUGAACCACUUUCGCCUGUGAUGAGGAGUUAGUGACGGUACUGGGUAAAGAAGCCCCGGCUAACUACGUG